GCCUAUAUGGUGUAGUGGUGACUAUGCACCUCCAGACAGGUAUGGCUGAAAAUGGUAAGGUCUUGGGUUCGAUUCCCGGUCCAGGUA